rnacentral:misc_RNA from 1 species
UAAUAAGUGUUUUAUGGCACUUUUUAAAUCCAUAUCCAUCUGGUGUGCAAUAUCAGGUUGUCCUCUUCUUUUUCUGGAGAGGAUGACCCAAACAUCAACUUAUUCUUGAACUCUUUGUCUGAAAAAUAUUAUGAAUAAAAUAAUUCAAAAUA